rnacentral:lncRNA from 1 species
AGAGAGUCAAGUAAUACGAAGAUACACUCCAGCUUUGAAAAAAUACAUAAGAUAUGUAGACGAUGUAAUAACAGUUUGGACAAACCGGAAUAGCAUAGAAGAGUUCCAGCAGGACCUAUCGCGUGAAGAUUACGGACUAAAGAUCAAAAACGAAUAAUGCAGCAGCGAAGAAAUACAUUUUCUAGAUUUGAGCAUAAAAAAAGAGGGAACAGCGAUAACAACAAUAUAUAGGAAGCAGACUUAUCAGCCCGAGCUGGUUACCUGACCCGAUAGCACAAAAAGCUGCUGCAUUCAGAUAUUACUUUAAGAGAGCAUAUGAAUACAUGGUAAGAAGCCAAGACUUGCAUGAAGAGCUCAACAACAUCUACAGAACGGGACAUGAGCAUGGGUACUCCAAGAAGUUCCUUAAUACCAUACACAACAAGAUCAAAGCAGCCCAGAGUGAAAGGAGGAUUAAUACUAGCAGGAUAAGCAAAGAUAAUGAUGAUUUUCUUAGUGUCCCAUAUCAAACUAGUAAGCAGAAGUGAUAAAGGAAGUAGCAAGAAAAACAGAAAAAACAAUCACCACCAAAAGACAACCAACAUUAUUCAACGUUCUUAGGAAUGAGAAAGACCC